GUGUUAAACGCGCCGCUGCAACAGUACUCUGGGCUCCCAAAGGCCUCGCACGCACUCUUGCAUGCGUCACCGUUACCCACCCUUAGCUCUGGUGGACACUCUCUGUUCAGAUCUGUUGAGCAACCCGUGGAAGCGCACAUACCCGAUCCGCCACUCCCUUCAACGAGCAUAGGGAGAUUGUAGCCGUCGACGAGGCUAACAUCAUAGAAGUCCUGCCCACCUGACCCAAGUGUAAACUCAGCCAGGGUAGCGGGCGGGGCAGCUCCGAGUCCGUUGCAUUCGACUUGGCCAGAACCACAGUCUCCAGUGAGACAGGAUCCGGAUUCAGAGUCGUCAAAGUUGCAGCCAGUUCGGGCCCAGAAGCGGCC
rnacentral:misc_RNA from 1 species